rnacentral:tRNA from 1 species
GCCGGCUUAGCUCAGUUGGUAGAGCAGUUGAUUUGUAAUCAUCAGGUCGUUGGUUCGAUUCCGACAGCCGGCACCG